GCAGCGUCGAUUUAUCCCCCACCUUCCUCCCCAGGAUCGUGCCGACCGCGCGCGUCGGGCGGACGACCGUCAUCAUGAUCUUCACCAGCGUGCUUUUCCCCGCGCCAUUGGGACCGAGCAACCCGAAGAUUUCCCCCCGCCGAACCCGCAUCUCGAUCCCGCGCAGCGCGUGGACCUUCCCCUUGUAAACCUUUGUCACGUCAUGAAGGUCGAUGGCGAGAUCGCUCGGGCUGGUUGCAGUCAUGAUUAAAACUUCAUCUCAAACCCCACCUUGAGGUACGGCUCAUCGCUGAUGUCCGUCAGUUCGUCCGUCUC
rnacentral:misc_RNA from 1 species